AUUGUCAUUAACGUGGAUACUUUUAUCCAUUGCAAUUAUCAUUGCAAUUUUUGAUUCUGUUAACUCGGCACCCCGACAUGUGGAUAAACUUGAUUCGACGUUGGAUAAUCAUAUCUUUGAUGAUUCGCAAACAAAAAAAAAGAUAACACUAGAAGAAAUUCAUCUAAAUGACUCACAACGAAACAAACGUUCAUAUUAUCCUAAUUUUGGACUAGAUCGUGGCUAUACAGCUUCUCUAUAUGGUCAACAUUUAAUCGGAAAGUAUGCAGCAAAUAAUAUAUAUGGUCCAGGCCGAAGGCGUUAAGAACAAAAUAUAAAAAACGAAUAUUUUUUUUACAAUUACUUUAAAUUUUCUAAUGAACA